UUCCGGUUGAUCCCGCCGGACCCGACUGCUAUCAGAGUGGGACUAAGCCAUGCGAGUCAACAUAGCAAUAUGUGGCAUACGGCUCAGUAACACGUAGUCAACAUGCCCAGGGGACGUGGAUAACCUCGGGAAACUGAGGAUAAACCGCGAUAAGUCACUACUUCUGGAAUGGGUAAUGACUCAAAUCUACAUGGCCCCUGGAUUGGACUGCGGCCGAUCAGGCUGUUGGUGAGGUAAUGGCCCACCAAACCUGUAACCGGUACGGGCUCUGAGAGGAGGAGCCCGGAGAUGGGCACUGAGACAAGGGCCCAGGCCCUAUGGGGCGCAGCAGGCGCGAAACCUCUGCAAUAGGCGAAAGCCUGACAGGGUUACUCUGAGUGAUUUCCGUUAAGGAGAUCUUUUGGCACCUCUAAAAAUGGUGCAGAAUAAGGGGUGGGCAAGUCUGGUGUCAGCCGCCGCGGUAAUACCAGCACCCCGAGUGGUCGGGACGUUUAUUGGGCCUAAAGCAUCCGUAGCCGGUUCUACAAGUCUUCCGUUAAAUCCACCUGCUUAACAGAUGGGCUGCGGAAGAUACUAUAGAGCUAGGAGGCGGGAGAGGCAAGCGGUACUCGAUGGGUAGGGGUAAAAUCCGUUGAUCCAUUGAAGACCACCAGUGGCGAAGGCGGCUUGCCAGAACGCGCUCGACGGUGAGGGAUGAAAGCUGGGGGAGCAAACCGGAUUAGAUACCCGGGUAGUCCCAG
rnacentral:rRNA from 1 species